AAUACAUGCAAGUCGAGCGGACAGAAGGGAGCUUGCUCCCGGACGUUAGCGGCGGACGGGUGAGUAACACGUAGGUAACCUGCCCCUUAGACUGGGAUAACUCCGGGAAACCGGAGCUAAUACGGGAUAAUAAAGAGAAUCACCUGAUUCUCUUUUGAAAGACGGUUUCGGCUGUCACUAAGGGAUGGGCCUGCGGCGCAUUAGCUAGUUGGUAAGGUAACGGCUUACCAAGGCGACGAUGCGUAGCCGACCUGAGAGGGUGAUCGGCCACACUGGGACUGAGACACGGCCCAGACUCCUACGGGAGGCAGCAGUAGGGAAUCUUCCGCAAUGGACGAAAGUCUGACGGAGCAACGCCGCGUGAGUGAGGAAGGCCAUCGGGUCGUAAAGCUCUGUUGUGAGGGAAGAACAAGUACCGGGGUAACUACCGGUACCUUGACGGUACCUCACCAGAAAGCCACGGCUAACUACAUGCCAGCAGCCGCGGUAAUACGUAGGUGGCAAGCGUUGUCCGGAAUUAUUGGGCGUAAAGCGCGCGCAGGCGGCUUCUUAAGUCUGAUGUGAAAUCUCGGGGCUCGACCCCGAGCGGCCAUUGGAAACUGGGAAGCUUGAGUGCAGAAGAGGAGAGUGGAAUUCCACGUGUAGCGGUGAAAUGCGUAGAUAUGUGGAGGAACACCAGUGGCGAAGGCGACUCUUCUGGUCUGUAACUGACGCUAGGCGCGAAA
rnacentral:rRNA from 1 species